rnacentral:rRNA from 1 species
CGGGUGAGUAACACGUGGGUAACCUGCCUGUAAGACUGGGAUAACUCCGGGAAACCGGGGCUAAUACCGGAUGCUUGUUUGAACCGCAUGGUUCAAACAUAAAAGGUGGCUUCGGCUACCACUUACAGAUGGACCCGCGGCGCAUUAGCUAGUUGGUGAGGUAACGGCUCACCAAGGCAACGAUGCGUAGCCGACCUGAGAGGGUGAUCGGCCACACUGGGACUGAGACACGGCCCAGACUCCUACGGGACGGCAGCAGUAGGGAAUCUUCCGCAAUGGUACGAAAGUCUGACGGAGCAACGCCGCGUGAGUGAUGAAGGUUUUCGGAUCGUAAAGCUCUGUUGUUAGGGAAGAACAAGUACCGUUCGAUAUAGCGGCGGUACCUUGACGGUACCUAACCAGAAAGCCACGGCUAACUACGUGCCAGCAGCCCCGGUAAUACGUAGGUGGCAAGCGUUGUCCGGAAUUAUUGGGCGUAAAGGGCUCGCAGGCGGGUUUUCUUAUAAAGUCUUGGAUGUGAAAGAGCCUCCCCCGGCUCCAAACCGGGGAGAGGGGUUCAUUGGAAAACUCGGGGGAAACUUGAGUGCCAGAGAGGAGGAGAGUGGAAAUUUCCACGGUGUAGCGGUGAAAAUGCGUAGAGAUGUGGAGGAACACCAGUGGCGCGAAGGCGACUCUCUGGUCUGUAACUGACGCUGAGGAGCGAAAGCGUGGGGAGCGAACAGGAUUAGAUACCCUGGUAGUCCACGCCGUAAACGAUGAGUGCUAAGUGUUAGGGGGUUUCCGCCCCUUAGUGCUGCAGCUAACGCAUUAAGCACUCCGUCCUGGGGGAGUACGGUCGCAAGACUGAAACUCAAAGGAAUUGAACGGGGGCCCGCACAAGCCGGUGGAGCAUGUGGUUUAAUUCGAAGCAACGCGAAGAACCUUACCAGGUCUUGACAUUCCUCUGACAAUUCCUAGAGAUAGGACGUCCCCCUUCGGGGGCCAGAGUGACAGGUGGUGCAUAGGUUGUCGUCCAGCUCNUGUCNUGAGAUGUUGGGUUAAGUCCCGCAACGAGCGCAACCCUUGAUCUUAGUUGCCCAGCAUUCAGUUGGGCACUCCUAAGGUGACUGCCGGUGACAAACCGGAGGAAGGUGGGGAUGACGUCAAAUCAUUCAUGCCCCUUAUGACCUGGGCUACACACGUGCUACAAUGGACAGAACAAAGGAGCAGCGAAACCG